GCACCCCGAUUGUUUUCUUCAUAGCUUUCUAAAUGUUUAUAAGGAUUGAUUGUUUAUUCUUUUUUUUUUUUGAAACAGAGUCUUGCUCUGUUGCCAGGCUGGAGUGCAGUGCUGUGAUCCCAGCUCACUGCAAUCUCCGCCUCCCGGGUUCAAGCGAUUCUCCUGCCUCAGCCUCCCAAGUAGCUGGGACUACAGGCAUGCACCACCAUGCCCAGCUAAUUUUUGUAUUUUUAGUAGGUACGGGGUUUUGCCAUGUUGGCCAGAAUGAUCUCCAUCUCUGGACCUCAUGAUCUGCCCACCUCGGCCUCCCAAAGUGCUGGAAUUACAGGUGUGAGCCACCGCUCCUGGCUGACUGUUUAUUCUUUAUUGUCCGUCUUUCUCAUUAGAGUCUAAGCUCCUUGAGGGCAAGUACUGCAUUUUGUUAUUCACUCUGGCAGAGCACAUAGUGGUUCUCAAAUUAUCUUGCUGAAUCAAUGAAUGGGCUGAUGUUGGCUGAGACUGAGAAUGCAUGAGACAGUGACAAGAAGAUACGUGAGGAGUUGCUGUAAGAGGCACUGAAAUGGAGCAAGAGUGAACUGGGUAGGCAGAUGGGAUGCUGCCAGGUCAUCAGACUGAUCACAAUGGUGUCAGGUCAUACCAAAUGGGGUGGCAUAAUUUGGGCAAAGGCCAGAAAUGUACUAGGUGUGGGCUGCACAGAUGUACGGGUCAUCCAGUGAUUUUCCGUCUUGGAAAGGCCAGCCAGCAUUCACAGGACAAAGAUGGGGGGAAUAGGAAUAACUGAGGUCAAGGGAGGGUCAAGGGCUAUAGGAGUGUCUACAUAAGUCAACACUGAGAAUGUAUUCCAUGAAUGAAAGUAACACAAAAGCUGUUGGCAGGCAAGGGUGGAACCCAGCUUAACUUCCAUGGUGUUGUCACAAGCCCAAGAAGAAAAAGGGAACUCUGGUGAAUACUCCUGAAUGACAAAGAUAAAAUGGAAGACCUAUGAUUUGGCUAUUGGGUUAUAAAAAAAAGGACAGCCAUCACAUGAGGAAACCUAGAAAAAUGAGAUAACGAGCUUCAGGGCUCAGGAUGGAAAGAACCCCAUAGAAAUCUUCGAUCUUUUCCACCAUGAGUUCUACACUGAUGCAAAGGACAGAAUCAGGAUAUACAUUCCCUGAUUUGGAAAGUAUAUAUUUUCCCAUCCAAGUUCAUUGUGAACUGCUGACCAAAAGGGCAGUCUUUUACACAGAUUCUGUCUAGAACCAGCACAGUGGGAAAAGCCUCGGAAAGCAUACGGCAAAGAAACUCUGAGACUCCAGAGUACGAUUUAGUAACAAAAAGAAUGGAGUGUCUUGUCUUUGUAUGCCCGUAUAAAUAAUCACGAUGGCUGAACUCUGCUGUUUUUCAUCCAACCUAAGUAACAGCGUUGAAAAAGAAAGACAACAAUGACUUGUGUGUACAGCGUCCAAGGGAACCAUUAGCAAUGGAGCUCCCCAGGCUCCUGGGAGGACCAAGCACAUGGUCCAACCAACCAUCUUCUGACAAGGUGGGGGUGGGCAGUGGAAGGCAAAAAGAAUGGCUGCACUUGUGUUUCUGAAGGUCAGACCAAGAAACCAAGGACUGUGUCUUUGUUAUUUCAAAUAUAUAGCCUUUGAAGUCCCAGCAGGUAAGUGGGUGAGUCUCACAUACAGCUCAGGAACUCCUUUCUCCUCUGUACCUCCUUAGAGAUAUAGGGCUAAGAGAGCCCAGGUGUUAGCCUGUGCAAGCCCUUCAUUUGCAAAGGAGGAAACUGAUGGGCAGAGGACAACACAAACUGCCCAAAGUCACACUGCUAGAUGGCACUUGGGCCAGGAUGAGACUUUCUUUUUUUUUUUUUUUUUUUGAGACGGAGUCUCGCUCUGUUACUAAGCUGGAGUACAGUGGCACAAUCUCGGCUCACUGCAACCUCCUCCGCUCCUGGGUUCAAGCGACUCUCCUGCCUCAGCCUCCCGAGCAGCUGGGAUUACAGGCGCCCACCACCACACCCAGCUAAUUUUUGUAUUUUUAGUAGAGAUGGGGUCUUACCAUGUUGGCCAGGAUGGUCUCUAUCUCCUGACCUCAGGUGAUCCACCCGCCUCGGCCUCCCAAAGUGUGGGAUUACAGGCGUGAGCCACCGCACCUGGCCAGCAGCAUGAGACUUUCUAACCCAGCUUCUUUUCCCAAUCCUAAGCAGCCCAUCUGGGGCUAUGUGACUGACUGACCACUAAAACUGCCUCUGAUUCCACAUUUUGAUUUUUGCUCCCAUAAGCACUGUUCGCAGUUUUCCCCCUCAUAUUACUUCUAUAACAACCUUUAGGUGGUCAAGGAAAAGAAAAAACACCAUCCACAUUCCUAGGCAUUUUAAUGAAAUGCACACCAGGUAUCUGACCCAGACUCCUACUUCCCUGCUAAUCUCCAGCUCAUAUCAAUUCAUUUCCCUAACAGAAAAUAGGUGUCAACUUUGUAGAUGGAAAGUAAUUUCCCUGCAAAUAUUACCAGAGAGGUUAUUGGCACUACUUGACAGUUUUAUUAUUACUUUUGUUUUGCAGUAAGGUGGGGGAACUCUACCUUUGCCAGGUAGAAUACUGAAAAUAAAAGUAGAACUUUUAACUUUGUAUUAGUUUUAACAUCGGAGGGGAAAACAAGAAGCAAAGAAUAUGUGUGCUGGCCACAUGCCCAGUACGGCUAAGGGCAACCUCACAGGAUCCUGGCUUUCCUCACUUCUCACCCACAAACUUUCAGAUCCUGGAGCUUCAGUGUGGGUUAGAGGGAAUUACUCUGCAGCAUCUGAAAAGCCAGCUCACAGGUGGGCUGCUGCGGCGAUUUGUCAGGGCCUGCUUGUAAACACUGGCUAUCAACUCCUUUACAAGGUAAGCCAACCGGGGGCAAGUUAACUCGCUUUACUCUUCUCCGGGUUUAAUAGAAGGUGGGUAUACUUUUUUUUUUUUUUUUUUUUGAGACGGAGUCUCGCCCUGUCGCCCAGGCUGGAGUGCAGUGGCGCAAUCUCGGCUCACUGCAAGCUCCGCCUCCCGGGUUCACGCCAUUCUCCUGCCUCAGCCUCUCCGAGUAGCUGGGACUACAGGCGCCCGCCACCACGCCCGGCUAAUUUUUUUGUAUUUUAGUAGAGACGGGGUUUCACCGUGGUCUCGAUCUCCUGACCUCGUGAUCCGCCCGCCUCGGCCUCCCAAAGUGCUGGGAUUACAAGCAUAAGCCACCGCACCCAGCCGAAGAUGGAGUCUCAGUCUGUCGUCCAGGCUGGAGUGCAGUGGCACAUCUCGGCUCACUGCAAGCUCUGCCUCCUGGGUUCAUGCCAUUCUCCUCCCUCAGCCUCCCAAGUAGCUGGGACUACAGCCUCAACUGAAUAGCAGAGAGAUUUUGGCUUUCAUUCCAGAAUGAUGUUUCACAGAAAGUCAACUCUUGUUCCAGAACUCCAAGAUGUAAAGGGAAAGAACACUUUAAAAGGCGUUUCCAAAGUCGUCUUGGAUAGAGGAGCUUUCAUCCAAGGGUGCUAUGUGGCAUUCCGGAAAUGAAUCAGAGACUUGGGCCCUCCAUUUCCUUAGAAACAGAGACAUGCUGAAGAUCGUUAGGGUAAAUUAGUGGGACAAAGUACACUCUGCAUUUUGUUUUUAAUUUCAACUAAAAAAAAUGCUGCACUCUUGUCUUGGCUGGAGAAAUAUCCUCAACCUGUUCAUCUCCUAUCCUCUGCCCAAAUCAACUCCAAAUUUGACUGACUGAAUUUUCAGUUCCUGUAUUUUCAGAUCAGUUCCUGUAUUUUCAGAUCUGGCUCUCUCUGUGGUUGUGAUGGUAGCAGUGGUAGUGGUUAUGGAGUCUGUAAGACUUACCGUUUUAAAAAGCCAAAAGCUCUCUUCAGGUUAAAUAGUCUCUCUGUCUGAUUCUCAAAUGAACUCCUUGAGGAAGAAUGUUCCAUGCGUAUCUAGAAACCUUACUUCUACAAGAAUGAGAGCUAAAGAAGUUCACCCAUAUCCCACAGAAACCACUUCUUCCCUUUCCUGAACAAGAAACCCAUAUUCUUCAUCUUCUGUCUGUCCACCCAGGCUUGGAAGACAGGUGAAAACAAUCCCAUCUUUCUAUUCUUAGAAAGAGGUAGGGAUGUGAUGCUUACAUUCCCCUGGCCUUUACUUGCAUCAAAUGUGGGAGGAAGGAAUAAAAGAGAAGAGGAAACUAAAACCCGAGAAAGGGGAAGAAGAGAAAGUAUUAGGUUGAUGCACAAGUAAUUGUGGUUUUUGCAAUUACUUUUAAUAGCGAACCCCCGCCCCCAAAAUCGUCUAGGAAUCUGCCCUCUGGAGUGAACUUGACUAAAAGUAGGUAAUAGUACCACUCUCGGCUUAGAAGUAUCUGAUUAUCCCUACUAACCAGUACAAGACAUAGAUUUCUGAAGGAAAAGGAUGCCUACCAUUGGCUGUUUUUUGUUUUUGCAGUUUGAUUUUUCUUAUUUUUUAAAAGGUUCUAAAAAUAAUACAUAUAUACCUGGUAUAAAAUUUGAAAGUUAGAAAGAAGUUAAAAGAAGCAUACAAAAUAUCACCACAUCAUAUUAUCUUAUUAGCCAAAUGCAACCACCACUAACAUCCAGGGAGGGCUCUUGCCAGUAUUUUUUCUAUUUUUUCCUAUGCUUUUAAAAAUCUUCACAACUAAAAUCAUUCCGUGCACAGAAUUUCACAUACUACUUUUUGUUCAAUCAAAAACAUUUUCUCAUGUGUUUAUUAAUUAUUUAAAUAUUAUUUUAAUGGCAGUAUAAUUUGCCAUCAUAUAACUAUAUUAUAAUUUAUUAAUAAUUUUCCUAAUAAAGGACAUUCAGAGUGUUUAGAAUUUUAGCCAUUAUAAAUAGUAUUAAAUAAACAUGGUUUUUGUGUGCAUUAAUCUUUACUUUUUAAAUUAUUUCCUUAGAAUAAUCUACUGGAAGUAGGAUUACCAAAUCAAAGAGUACCUAUCACCAAGAAAGCUGUAUCAAUUUAUAUUAACAGUAUAUUAAUGUCUUUCUGAAACUGACUGAAUUGAUUAAUGUCAUUUAAAAAUCAUGCUAUCUUGUUAGGCCUCUGAUACUUUGUAUUUACUGGUAAAGCUGAAAAUUGUUUACAGGCUAAUUAAACACAUUAUACAUUAAGGUUAUUAAUUUUGUGCCUUAAUAUUUGAAAAAAUGCAUCUUAUCAGUUUGCUUUUUGUCCUUUUUGCUGGUUGUUUAUGAUCAUUUUUGACAUAUAAAAAUUUUAUUUUUCUCUAUAUUUCAAUGUAUUGACCUUUGUAUUCUGUAAUUUCUUCUAUUACUGUAAAGUACAGAAAAUCUGCCUGUAUCUAGAUAAAUAUGCAGAAAUA